rnacentral:tRNA from 1 species
AGAGCUGUGGCACAAUGGCAGAACAUCCGCUUUGGGUGCAGAAGGUUCCAGGUUCAAUUCCUGGCAACUCCA